ensembl:lincRNA
GACGCGGGAUGGAAUGGCCUGACUGUGACUGCCCGGUGUCUGCCGCAAGGCAAGCUGUCCGCAAUGUCAGCUGUGGCUCGGGAAGUGCUUGGCUUCUGCCUUGGGACGCACGGAUGACAGAAAGUCAGGAAGGAAGAGGAAAGAAGGCCGGGACAAGGGCCACUUCUGUCCUCCUCACCCAGAGCCCGACACCACUCUCACGCCGGGGGCCACCCUUCCUCAGGCCGGGCUGGGUCGUCUUUCCUGACAGCAGCACUGGGCCCUGCAGCACUGUCUAAGGACAAAUACUCAUCCUCUGAAGGCGAAGACAGUGCGGAGGAGCCCAGGGGAUGAGGCAGAGGUGAGGUGGGGAGAGCCUGGCUCCAGGACACCCAAGGCAACACUGGCACUGGAUCCCGGCGGGCAGAAGGGACAAGGUCCGGGGAGGCUGGGGCCAGGGGGCUACAUCCUCUUCCUUUUCAGUCUUCUGGAGCAUGAAAUUACAGGAUUUACAGGGAAAACGACAGGGCCUUGCAGUCUCACUGUGGGAAGACGGCGACAGGAACUCUGCGGCCCCAGCUCUCCGCCGUCCGCAUGCAGUACCUGCCAGGGGCCUCCCCCGACACCCACAGUAACUUCUCUUCCCAGUGCACACUUGUGUGCAGGGACCUGCCAGGUACCAUGAUGCAGGAACAGCAGGACUGUGGGGACAGAGGGUAGUACUCGUGUCCUCUCUGCUGGGGAGGUCCCAGUGGGCUCCCUAGAGGGGCAGUGGCAGGAGGGGCCUGGAAGGUCAUCUCGGCCAUCUGCCCACUGCCCAGCCCUGACCUAGAGCCACCUGAAGCUUGCGCUGUGCUGUGUGAGCAGUGGGACUCUGGGCCAAUCCUGGGAUCCAGAGGGACCCCAGCCUGGCGCAGUGCAGGAGCCUGGGUCCCCGUGGCCUAGGGUGCCUCCUCCGGCUUCCUGUAGCCCUGUCUGAGCAGAUCCAUCAUGCUAAUGCACCAAGUGUCAGUGUCUAUGCCGCCUGCCAGCGCUGGGGUUUGAUAAAUCACAGGACUGUCCGCCACCAGCGUGUUGGAGAGCAGGCCUUACCCUCUCACUGCACAGCGAGCCCUCACUCACCACUGGCACGCAAGCCCAAUGCAGCUCCUCGCAAAAACCACUUCUGUCCAGCUGAGCACUGGAGCAGGAGCAAACAUUUGUUCUGUGCUUUUUGGUUCCUUUCUUUCUUUCCUCCCUCCCUCCCUCUCCCCUCUUUUUUUGAGACAGAAUCUUGCUAUGUGGCACAGGCUUGCCUCAAACGUUCCAUAAUCUUCCUGCCUCAGCCUACUGAGUGCUGAGAUCACAGGUGUGGGCCACCAUGCCUGGCAUGCUUUGUAGUUUUCAAAGCACUUGACGAAGCAUUUAACUCCAGCUUCACAACACCGAGCUGGCCAGGGGUAAUAAUCACACUUCGACCUGCCAGUUUGUCCUCAUACAGCCCCAUGUGGGGUCCAUAAGGCAGUGGUGCCUGCUUCCUCCAGCUGACAAGCCAUCAGGGCCAAGCCUUUGGGACAGCUUGCAGAGAGAAGGAAGACAGGACAGAGUGGAAACUAGGAGCCACUUGGCCUUUAGACCACAGUGAAAACAUGCCCGGCUCUGUGGCGUGGGAGAAGGUCCUGCCCCUGGCAGGCAGUGAGGGCUGUCUACUCUGCACGACCCUGGCCAGAGCCGGGCCUGAGUCCUGACUCUGCUGCAUGCAGAGUGACCAUGGGAAGCGUGUCCACUCUGGGCUGCGUCUCCUCCCCUGCGGAACUGGACGGCCCCGGCCAACUCCCCGGCACCCACAGGGUCCCGUGAUGAGGUCAGCAGUGUCACCAUCAAGGUCCCGUCACCAGGCAGCCUGGCGCUACCCAGAGAACUGAGUCCCCUUCUGGCUGGCACCCCCACCCCAGGAACUUGGUCUCCUUGAUGAAGCCGCACUCCCCUCCCCGCCUGCUGUAGAGUCAUUAGCAGGAUCCCCACAAUUAGGAACAAAUGGCUUAUGACCAACUGCAUCCAGAGCGGGCACUGGGAGGAGGGACGGGACAGGGGAUAUUUCUGCGCAGGCAACAGGGUGCUGCUAUGAAAAGAAACAAGCCUCUCUUCUCUCCCCGCCUGCUGUGAAGUCAUUAGCAGGAUCCCCACAAUUAGGAACAAAUGGCUUAUGACCAACUGCAUCCAGAGCGGGCACUGGGAGGAGGGACGGGACAGGGGAUAUUUCUGCGCAGGCAACAGGGUGCUGCUAUGAAAAGAAACAGAAGCCUCUCUUCUGGGCACCGCCACGCCCCCCUUUGUGUUGCCCAGGGGCGGGUCCGCACUCUGUGGAUGCCAAGUGAAGGCCUGGAAGAGUCCGGGACUAGGCUGGGCUCCCCACCUUCUUCUGUGCACUACUGACUAAGCCCCGGGCCUUUGCAUGGAACUAUAUCCCCAAUCCUUUCUACUUAGAGACAGGGUCUCACUACGUUACUAAAUUAUCCUCCUGCCUCAGCCUCCCAGAGAUGGCAGGUAGGCUAUGAUGUCUGACCCCACCCUCCCUCUGUGCACAUCCGGGUCGCAAGCCUGUGUGGGUCAGGGGGCCAGGAUGGCAGAGCCCAUGGCCCUAGUGAACCACAAAGGGUUACUCUUGUCUGGUCAAGUGUUGUUCCAGCGACACUGAGUCAAAAAGUACAGCUGUUAUAUACACACAUACUUAUGUUUACUCCCAUCUACUUUACUUUACAAAUGAGAACAUGGAAG